rnacentral:rRNA from 1 species
UACACUCCUGCGGGAGGCAGCAGUGGGGAAUAUUGGACAAUGGGCGCAAGCCUGAUCCAGCCAUGCCGCGUGAGUGAUGAAGGCCCUAGGGUUGUAAAGCUCUUUCACCGGUGAAGAUAAUGACGGUAACCGGAGAAGAAGCCCCGGCUAACUUCGUGCCAGCAGCCGCGGUAAUACGAAGGGGGCUAGCGUUGCUCGGAUUUACUGGGCGUAAAGCGCACGUAGGCGGACUAUUAAGUCAGGGGUGAAAUCCCGGGGCUCAACCCCGGAACUGCCUUUGAUACUGGUAGUCUUGAGUUCGAGAGAGGUGAGUGGAAUUCCGAGUGUAGAGGUGAAAUUCGUAGAUAUUCGGAGGAACACCAGUGGCGAAGGCGGCUCACUGGCUCGAUACUGACGCUGAGGUGCGAAAGCGUGGGGAGCAAACAGGAUUAGAUACCCUUGUAGUCCCA